AGAAGGGAUGUAUUCAAAUUGAAGCCAUAUUCUUAUCUUAGGGGGAAACAGGUUGAAAAACUCGAGUGCUCGGAGCUUCUUACGGUUCGACCAGUCGUCAUUGGCAGCCGUUGCUGUAAGAGUGAGUGUAGUGGAUAAGGAAAUUCGAAGACCUAAUAUAUAUAGAUUUCUGAACUUAAAAUUAUGAGAGCAUUGUGAAAUGUACUUUGUUAUGCCUACGGAAAUGAUAUCUCCAAUCCGCCUGCAAAGAACGUGUAAUUGAAUUCAGUUUUGUUGUGUGUUAUUUUAAUAAUUCCUUCCAUCAAACUUUCCCGCGAAUGAAAACUGACGAGAUCAAUUGAACCACCUUGCCCUCUGCUAAUUUUCUGCCUGCCAAAAGCUCACACCAAACGCUCGGAGCUGGAGAAUACCCUACAUGAAGAUAUUGCGUCUAUAUGUGAUACUUUCGUGAUAUUUGGUCGGAGGAUGUCGUUUUGGAAGUCAUUCUGCCCUACGUGCUGUAUACCCUUCAGCAGUUCUAAUUUGAAAUUAUUUUGUGGUCUCUCCAACAUUCGUCAAGGCGGCGUGCGAAGACUGAGAAUUUUCACUUUGCAUCAGAGCUGCUCCUGAAUUCACGGAUCAUCGCUUCAUCACGGUAAAAUCUCUCCAACUCCUGCUCUCAGAAUUAAUUGCGAACGAAUCGACCUUUUGUUUAUUCUCUCAAUUUUUCAAAGUGAGCUGGCACAGUAUUCUUCCUCACCACCGAUACAAUAAGCAGUCGCCAUUUAGGCGGAUCUUAGUAAAAUCAGUCUAACUCCAUUCCGCGUUGCCUAUAAUUGUACCUCUCAGUUCGAAAACUACCAAACUCGGCACGGUGCUCCUAAAGAGGAACUCGAAGUUUGUCAAGAGACUCAUGCAUGGAUUGCCUAUUUUUCUACAGCGUUCAAUGAGAAUCAUGCAUUUGGUUAUAUUCAUUGGCUGCGUGAUAACCAGUGUCUGAAGUUUAUUACUGGCUACUGGGUUUCUAUUCCUGGGAAUCCUAUUGACUAUAUACAUUAUGUAAUAAGGAAUUAAUAUUUGUGGAUCAUUCAUAAAUGCACCUAUAUCUGUAUAGAGAAAAUCAAAUUUGGAGAGGAGGAAGAGCAAAGAGAAGAAGAAGA